rnacentral:rRNA from 1 species
UUGAACGCUGGCGGCAUGCCUUACACAUGCAAGUCGAACGGCAGCACGGGUGCUUGCACCUGGUGGCGAGUGGCGAACGGGUGAGUAAUACAUCGGAACAUGUCCUGUAGUGGGGGAUAGCCCGGCGAAAGCCGGAUUAAUACCGCAUACGAUCUACGGAUGAAAGCGGGGGACCUUCGGGCCUCGCGCUAUAGGGUUGGCCGAUGGCUGAUUAGCUAGUUGGUGGGGUAAAGGCCUACCAAGGCGACGAUCAGUAGCUGGUCUGAGAGGACGACCAGCCACACUGGGACGGAGACACGGCCCAGACUCCUACGGGAGGCAGCAGUGGGGAAUUUUGGACAAUGGGCGAAAGCCUGAUCCAGCAAUGCCGCGUGUGUGAAGAAGGCCUUCGGGUUGUAAAGCACUUUUGUCCGGAAAGAAAUCCUUGGCUCUAAUACAGUCGGGGGAUGACGGUACCGGAAGAAUAAGCACCGGCUAACUACGUGCCAGCAGCCGCGGUAAUACGUAGGGUGCGAGCGUUAAUCGGAAUUACUGGGCGUAAAGCGUGCGCAGGCGGUUUGCUAAGACCGAUGUGAAAUCCCCGGGCUCAACCUGGGAACUGCAUUGGUGACUGGCAGGCUAGAGUAUGGCAGAGGGGGGUAGAAUUCCACGUGUAGCAGUGAAAUGCGUAGAGAUGUGGAGGAAUACCGAUGGCGAAGGCAGCCCCCUGGGCCAAUACUGACGCUCAUGCACGAAAGCGUGGGGAGCAAACAGGAUUAGAUACCCUGGUGGUCCACGCCCUAAACGAUGUCAACUAGUUGUUGGGGAUUCAUUUCCUUAGUAACGUAGCUAACGCGUGAAGUUGACCGCCUGGGGAGUACGGUCGCAAGAUUAAAACUCAAAGGAAUUGACGGGGACCCGCACAAGCGGUGGAUGAUGUGGAUUAAUUCGAUGCAACGCGAAAAACCUUACCUACCCUUGACAUGGUCGGAAUCCUGCUGAGAGGCGGGAGUGCUCGAAAGAGAACCGGCGCACAGGUGCUGCAUGGCUGUCGUCAGCUCGUGUCGUGAGAUGUUGGGUUAAGUCCCGCAACGAGCGCAACCCUUGUCCUUAGUUGCUACGCAAGAGCACUCUAAGGAGACUGCCGGUGACAAACCGGAGGAAGGUGGGGAUGACGUCAAGUCCUCAUGGCCCUUAUGGGUAGGGCUUCACACGUCAUACAAUGGUCGGAACAGAGGGUUGCCAACCCGCGAGGGGGAGCUAAUCCCAGAAAACCGAUCGUAGUCCGGAUUGCACUCUGCAACUCGAGUGCAUGAAGCUGGAAUCGCUAGUAAUCGCGGAUCAGCAUGCCGCGGUGAAUACGUUCCCGGGUCUUGUACACACCGCC